rnacentral:sRNA from 1 species
GUUCAAAGUUACAUCACAUGGACAGAGGCGAGGUCAAAAUGUCUUCAUGAGUCAUCAGAACUGACCAGCAUUCACUCCCUUGAAGAAAACAAGUUUCUCUCCUCCAGACUUCCAAACAACUCUAAAUUCUGGAUUGGACUUGAAAGUUUGAAGCUAAGGAAAGACAACCACUGGACAGAUAAAUCUUCUCUAAACUUUUUGGGUUUCAGCGUUCGGUCCGAAGAUGUAUUGAAAUUCUCACCAGGCUUUUGUGUUUAUAUAGAGCAAAAGAGUGGCUACUGGAAGACAUCAGAUUGUCAGUUUAUAUCAAUCAGUGGAUACAUUUGUAACAGACCUGCAUACAGUGGACCAGUUAACACACAGUCCCAGGCUCAAGUGGUU